AGAGUUUGAUCCUGGCUCAGAACGGACGCUGGCGGCAGGCUUAACACAUGCAAGUCGAACGCGUGUAGCAAUACACGAGUGGCGCACGGGUGAGUAACGCGUGGAUAUCUGCCUUUUGGUUCGGAAUAACCCCGGGAAACUGGGGCUAAUACCGGAUGGUUCCUUCGGGAUAAAGAUUUAUCGCCAAAAGAUGAGUCCGCGUACGAUUAGCUAGUUGGUGAGGUAAUGGCUCACCAAGGCGACGAUCGUUAGCUGGUCUGAGAGGACGAUCAGCCACACUGGGACUGAGACACGGCCCAGACUCCUACGGGAGGCAGCAGUGGGGAAUAUUGGACAAUGGGGGCAACCCUGAUCCAGCCAUGCCGCGUGAGUGAUGAAGGCCUUCGGGUUGUAAAGCUCUUUUGGCGGGGACGAUGAUGACGGUACCCGCAGAAUAAGCCCCGGCUAACUUCGUGCCAGCAGCCGCGGUAAGACGAAGGGGGCUAGCGUUGUUCGGAAUUACUGGGCGUAAAGCGAGUGUAGGUGGUUGUCCAAGUUGGAUGUGAAAGCCUUGAGCUCAACUCAAGAAAUGCAUUCAG
rnacentral:rRNA from 2 species